CGCACAUUGCGCCCGCCAGCAUUCUGGCGGGCAUGCCUGUCCGAGCGUCAUUUCAACCCUCAGGCCCUGCCUGGUGUUGGAGGACUGCGCACCGCAGCCUCCCAAAGCAAGCGGCGGCGGCGCCCCAUAACCGAACGCAGUAGUUACUUCUCGUUCUGGGUCUGGGUCGUUGUCCUGCCGGAAAACCCCCAUCUUUAUCAAUGGUUGACCUCGGAUCAGGUAGGAAUACCCGCUGAACUUAA
rnacentral:misc_RNA from 1 species